UAACUGGGCUGCGUACUGCCUGCGAAUUUGAACUUCAGAGCUGAAGGUGCGAGUGGAGAAAUAGUCCCAAUAUCAUAACAAUCUUAAAACUUCUAAAUAUACCCGUGUGUGUACCCGUGUGCGUGCGUGUGUGCGCGCGCGCGUGCUCGCGCGUGUGCAUGUAUGUAUGUAUGCGCGUGCGUCUGUGUAUUUUGAAUUUAAAAUGUUUUAACUCGGAAGGAUCUGGAUCACAGGUCAUUUCAUCUGAGAUCAAUCCGCACGCAACAGCUGGAAUCACUUACUGAUUCACACAAGGAAGGACACAAGUCAGCCGUUUCCUCAAGUUCACGUCAGAGCGGAGAUGAUGUAAGAGGCAGACCAGAAGGAGACAGCGAGACAGUCUCCGCUUGGACUGGCUGAGGAAAGUCUCCUAAAUGGCCCUGGAGAUGUUCUGACUGACUUUGGAGGCUUUUUGGACUGUUUUAUGCCCUCUAUUUAAAGAAGACUUAAUUCUGUAUGUUCAGUCUGUAUGAUAAGUGAAUAAGUGAAUAAAAAGCUUUUGUUUUUAUGUGA